UCCGGAAUUAUUGGGCGUAAAGAGCUCGUAGGCGGUUUGUCGCGUCUGCUGUGAAAACCUAAGGCUCAACCUUGGGCUUGCAGUGGGUACGGGCAGACUAGAGUGCGGUAGGGGUGACUGGAAUUCCUGGUGUAGCGGUGGAAUGCGCAGAUAUCAGGAGGAACACCGAUGGCGAAGGCAGGUCACUGGGCCGCAACUGACGCUGAGGAGCGAAAGCAUGGGGAGCGAACAGG
rnacentral:rRNA from 1 species